CAUGGCUGUUGAUUCCGUGUAGAUGUCUUUUCUAGUUCAAAAUGCAUCCAAAGCGAUCCUGCUUGAUCUUAAAGCUGCUGCCGGAACACCCAAAUUGAAGAGAAUGAUGCAAAAUUAGAGGAUUGCUUGAAAAUGAAGCUGCCUUGGUUUUGUGGACAGCGGAUUGCAAAAAAUAAAUAAAUAAAAACAUAAAAAAAACGGCCCGGUCACAAUGAGGAAGAGGAGGGGAGGGAGCUGAUGGAUCAGCAAAAAAGUGAAACUUGGAUAUGAUCAAAGACAGCAGAAGUUACACUUUUGUGGCGCCAUGAUGGUGUGACUGAAUCAGCUGUAUGCCACAUAAAGAAUGAUGUGGUAAACAUCAACCUAAAGCUGCAAUGAAGCAUUCAACCCCUCGAGAACAAGGCUUUUGGGAAGCCAAGCUGCCCCAGCAGAACAGAAGUGAUGUCACAGCAGUGCACCAAAAGUGAAUGCAAAACAAGGCGUCGUGGGCAUUCGGUGCUACAUGAGGAGACCACGUGUUUGCUUUGUUUGUGACUUUUUGUACUGCAAUAAAAAUGUUAUUUUUUUGUUAUUGUUAAACUAGA